GGGGAAGUAUUGCACAAUGGGCGGCAAGCCUGAUGCAGCCAUGCCGCGUGUAUGAAGAAGGCCUUCGGGUUGUAAAGUACUUUCAGCGAGGAGGAAGGGGGAGUGGUUAAUAACCAUUUUCAUUGACGUUACUCGCAGAAGAAGCACCGGCUAACUCUGUGCCAGCAGCCGCGGUAAUACGGAGGGUGCAAGCGUUAAUCGGAAUUACUGGGCGUAAAGCGCACGCAGGCGGUCUGUCAAGUCGGAUGUGAAAUCCCCGGGCUCAACCUGGGAACUGCAUUCGAAACUGGCAGGCUAGAGUCUUGUAGAGGGGGGUAGAAUUCCAGGUGUAGCGGUGAAAUGCGUAGAGAUCUGGAGGAAUACCGGUUGGCGAAGGCGGCCCCCCUGGACAAAGACUGACGCUCAGGUGCGAAAGCGUGGGGAGCAAACA
rnacentral:rRNA from 1 species